rnacentral:rRNA from 1 species
CCUACGGGAGGCUGCAGUGGGGAAUAUUGGGCAAUGGAGGCAACUCUGACCCAGCAACGCCGCGUGAAUGAUGAAGGUCUUCGGAUUGUAAAGUUCUGUGAUGGGGGAUGAACACAAUGACGGUACCCCAAUAGCAAGCCACGGCUAACUACGUGCCAGCAGCCGCGGUAAUACGUAGGGGGCAAGCGUUAUCCGGAAUUACUGGGUGUAAAGGGAGCGUAGACGGUGAUGUAAGUCUGGAGUGAAAGGCGGGGGCCCAACCCCCGGACUGCUCUGGAAACUAUGUGACUGGAGUGCAGGAGAGGUGAGCGGAAUUCCUAGUGUAGCGGUGAAAUGCGUAGAUAUUAGGAGGAACACCAGUGGCGAAGGCGGCUCACUGGACUGUAACUGACGUUGAGGCUCGAAAGCGUGGGGAGCAAACAGGAUUAGAUACCCCGGUAGUC